UACGGGGGGGGCAAGCGUUGUUCGGAAUUACUGGGCGUAAAGGGCUCGUAGGCGGCCAACUAAGUCGGAUGUGAAAUCCCCAGGCUUAACCUGGGAACUGCAUCCGAUACUGGAUGGCUUGAAUCCGGGAGAGGGAUGCAGAAUUCCAGGUGUAGCGGUGAAAUGCGUAGAUAUCUGGAGGAAUACCGGUGGCGAAGGCGGCAUCCUGGACCGACACUGACGCUGAGGCGCGAAAGCUAGGGGAGCAAACGGG
rnacentral:rRNA from 1 species